CCAGAGAACUUUCCAGAGAUGGAUUGGUGCCUUCGGGGAACUCUGAGACAGGUGCUGCAUGGCUGUCGUCAGCUCGUGUUGUGAAAUGUUGGGUUAAGUCCCGCAACGAGCGCAACCCUUAUCCUUUGUUGCCAGCGGUUAGGCCGGGAACUCAAAGGAGACUGCCAGUGAUAAACUGGAGGAAGGUGGGGAUGACGUCAAGUCAUCAUGGCCCUUACGAGUAGGGCUACACACGUGCUACAAUGGCGCAUACAAGAGAAGCGACCUCGCGAGAGCAAGCGGACCUCAUAAAGUGCGUCGUAGUCCGGAUUGGAGUCUGCAACUCGACUCCAUGAAGUCGGAAUCGCUAGUAAUCGUGGAUCAGAAUGCCACGGUGAAUACGUUCCCGGGCCUUGUACACACCGCCCGUCACACCAUGGGAGCGGGUUGCAAAAGAAGUAGGUAGCUUAACCUUCGGGAGGGCGCUUACCACUUUGUGAUUCAUGACUGGGGUGAAGUCGUAACAAGGUAGGCGUAGAUGA
rnacentral:rRNA from 1 species